GAAGGCCUUAGGGUCGUAAAGCUCUUUCGCCUGUGAAGAUAAUGACGGUACCAGGUAAAGAAACCCCGGCUAACUCCGUGCCAGCAGCCGCGGUAAUACGGAGGGGGUUAGCGUUGUUCGGAAUUACUGGGCGUAAAGCGCACGUAGGCGGACUGGAAAGUUGGGGGUGAAAUCCCGGGGCUCAACCCCGGAACUGCCUCCAAAACUAUCAGUCUGGAGUUCGAGAGAGGUGAGUGGAAUUCCGAGUGUAGAGGUGAAAUUCGUAGAUAUUCGGAGGAACACCAGUGGCGAAGGCGGCUCACUGGCUCGAUACUGACGCUGAGGUGCGAAAGUGUGGGGAGCAAACAGGAUUAGAUACCCUGGUAGUCCACACCGUAAACGAUGAAUGCCAGUCGUCGGGUAGCAUGCUAUUCGGUGACACACCUAACGGAUUAAGCAUUCCGCCUGGGGAGUACGGUCGCAAGAUUAAAACUCAAAGGAAUUGACGG
rnacentral:rRNA from 1 species